rnacentral:tRNA from 1 species
AGUUCUUUAUUUUAUAGUAGAAUUUUUGGUUUUCAUUCAAAAGGAGAAAGAAUUG